GGGAUGCUGUGCUGUGGACUUUCUGGAGUCUGGUGACUCAUAACCAUCGUAUCCUUACACCCAUGAAAAGAGCUAAAGAGAUACUCUCUGGUUGAUCUCAGACCCUAUGGAGGCAUAUCAUGUGAUUAAGAAGAGUAUGUUUAGUGCUGGAAGGCCUGAGCAGACUGGCCCAGGACUCUGCAUUUCCACAAGGAGAAGGGGCGAGGUACAGAUGUGGAUAUAGAAUCAGAUCAGAAUUUUCUUGGC